UACAGAGGGUGCAAGCGUUAAUCGGAUUUACUGGGCGUAAAGCGUGAGUAGGUGGCUCGCUAAGUCGGAUGUGAAAUCCCUGGGCUCAACCUGGGAAUUGCAGUCGAUACUGACGAGCUAGAGUUCGGUAGAGGGUGACGGAAUUCCCGGUGUAGCGGUGAAAUGCGUAGAUAUCGGGAGGAACAUCGAUGGCGAAGGCAAUCACCUGGGCCUGAACUGACACUGAGACACGAAAGCGUGGGUAGCAAACAGG
rnacentral:rRNA from 1 species